rnacentral:rRNA from 1 species
UACGUAGGGGGCGAGCGUUGUCCGGAUUCAUUGGGCGUAAAGCGCGCGCAGGCGGUGGCGUGAGCCCGGCGUGAAAGCCCCCAGCUCAACUGGGGGAGGCCGUCGGAGACCGCGGCACUUGAGGCCGGUAGGGGAGAGCGGAAUUCCCGGUGUAGUGGUGGAAUGCGUAGAUAUCGGGAGGAACACCAGUGGCGAAGGCGGCGCUCUGGGCCGGAACUGACGCUGAGGAGCGAAAGCGUGGGUAGCAAACAGG